rnacentral:lncRNA from 1 species
GAGAGAGAGAGAAAGCUAUCUACGAGAGAGGAAGCCGGCAACCUAACGGUGAGCAGCCGGAUUCGGUCACAACCUACUAGACCUCAAGUGAGGAAUCCGAUGCUGGUGACGAUCCCUCACCGUCGCUACAGCUUCGUUUCUCGCCGUCGUCUACACCUAUUCUCCCCACUUAAUUUCAGUCUUUUCCUUGAAACCUAGAGAGAUAUGAACAAGUGGGAGAACGGAAAAAGAAGAGAGACGCAAUUUCUUAGGAUCUUUUCCACGUCGGAUGACGUUUUUUUUGUUUCUUCGAUUAGGUUUUCUGGACUUCUACUUCUUUAGGGUUUAGGCUCAGUUGUUGUUCUUCUUAACCUGGAUUCUGUCUGGUUUGUUUAUUGGGUUAUUUUAUACGAUUCUGGAUUUGUUAUCAUUCAGAAUUAGUGUUUUUGGCUAUUUGUUUGCUGUUUAAUGGCAUUUUUUUGCUUUUGGUUGAAUGUGGGUGGUCUUCUCUGUUGUUUGCUAUCUUCUAGAACCAGGCCAACCAUAAGGAAACGAGUCUAAAUCCGAGGCCACAAGGAUACAGAAGGCACAGAGAGCACAACUUCCAGUAGCAGUGCAAUAAAAUCUACAAGGCUGAGCCGGGUGGGGUAACGAACCAGGACGGACUUGGGUCAUAAUGGGUCACUUCAAGGGUGACGCACUUGUGCUAGGAACCCAUGUCUGAUUUGCAGCCACUUACGGAUAGACGGCUAAAGUAACCAUAAUAUGUAGGUGUCAAAGUCAAAGAGGGAGCUGUUGGCAUUGGAAGAGCGGAUUGGUAACGUGAACACUUGGUUGACUGAAGAAUACAAUUAUAAACACCUGAAUCAGAAAACGUACGCGAGUGUAUCGGUUGACCUAGAUGCCGAAGAUAGCUGCAUAUGUUAGGUACCCCUAUUGUUUUAUACUUUUUAUUCUCGACGAAAAUGUUAGUUUGGUUCGUUUGGGUGUAAAUUUUGAUGUCUUAUUAGGAAGAAUAGAAUGGGAGCAUUAGAUUGUGUGCAUAAGCUCAUCAAACAAUCGUUGCUUCAGAAGAACGUGUCUCUUGUCUACAAGUAUACGGCUUCAAAAUGAGACUUAAAAUGAGGUUUUUUUUUUAAAGAAAACAAUUACUUCAUCAUGCUGGAUUGGAUCAAGAAAUGUGAAUAAACCUAAGAUGGAGCUGGUAAUGUUUUUCACGCAGAUAGUAUUCUUCAAAUAUGAAGUAUGUUUUUAACUAAAAAUGGGUUUCAAGAAAGCUUUCUAUUUUUGACGUCUCCGUUUGGUUAUCUUUGCGGUUUUGUUGUGUUUAACUUUGAGGUUUCUCUUUUAUUAACGUCAUGUUUUUUUCAAGUAUCGUAAUGAACAUAACAGGAUACCGUUAUGUUUUUUUUCUUGCGAGUACCGUAACGAACAUUAUAGGAUACCGAUGAAACUCCUUGUGCCUCC